AGACCGAUAGCGAACAAGUAGAGUGAUCGAAAGAUGAAAAGUACUUUGGAAAGAGAGUUAAAAAGCACGUGAAAUUGUUGAAAGGGAAGCGCCUGCAAUCAGACUUCGCGGCAGUGUUCCGUCGGUCUUCUGACCGGCCUACUCUCUGCCGCGAGGCCAUCAUCGUCUUGGCCCGCUGGAUAAGACCUUGGGAAUGUAGCUCACCUUCGGGGGAGUGUUAUAGCUUAGGGUGAUGCAGCGCGGCUGGGGCGAGGUCCGCGCUUCGGCAAGGAUGAUGGCGUAAUGGUUGUCGGCGGCCCGUCUUGAAACACGGACCAAG
rnacentral:rRNA from 1 species